ACAAUGCCCUUUCAUGGCCAACAACUCUUUCAGUACAAAAUCUCCAAUAAUUAUCUCUGUUGUGUUGCUGCCCUCCUAAGUGUAAUUCAGUCUUUUAUGACGCUUGCCUUUUCAGAACCAAGUAGAUAUGCUCCUUCAAGAAAUGGCUGAUGAAGCUGGGCUUGAUCUGAAUAUGGAACUACCUCAGGGACAGACAGGCUCUGUUGGCACAAGUGUUGCUUCAACGGAACAGGACGAGCUCUCGCAAAGACUGGCACGUCUUCGUGAUCAAGUGUGAAGGGGAGCCAGAUCUGCAGCGUUGUACAUAUGCUUCCAGCUCCAUUCUCUGUACAUAUUUUGUGGCCUAACCAGGAUUUCUGUUGAGAUGUUUAAACAACACACUAGUGAACACCCGCCUCUCUCUCUUUUCCCCCCCCUUUGCUGUGCUUUCCAAAUUCAUCUAACUCAGUAGUAUUGUGCCAUAAGUGCAUUUUCUAAGUCUGUAUUGUACAUUGAAGGUUAUAUUUUUGCAAAUCUCUUUUUCAAUGAUUAAAAUGUCUGUUUUAUCGGAUGUCACCGCAAGUAAUCAAAUAGAAAGAACAGCUUGUAUAAUUUUAAGUUAUAUAACAAGUUUUAAAUUAUGGAUAAUGUUUGAAAUUAAAUCCCUAAGAUGGUGUUUGUGAUUGACAGCAUGUCACAUUAAUUAUCAAUAGGAUAAAAUAUAUGUGUGUGUGUCCACCAGUAUUACAUCACUGGAGAAUCUUUCCAAACCCAGCUUACUUGUCAUGACACCUAAAAUUCAAGGAAUAUUUAUGCUGUCCUUAUAACCUGAAACUUAUAUUGAUAUCAACAGUUCAGUACCAAAGGAAUAAAAAAUAUUUUUCAACGCUUUUGCCUAGAUUUCCUUAAAAAUAUACAUGACACUCCCAUAGAGAGGGAUACCUUGAUACUGUAAAGGAGACAAACCAAAACAUCAAGUUUGAAAUGUCAUUUUAAGAUUGUGGUGUGGUUGGAUGUGAUUGCUUUCUGCUGCGAGUGGGGUGAUCGACUGAAUUAUAUCAGAAAAGGAAAAUGAACAAACAUGAGCAUGCAUCUGAAGUACUCCGUGAAGUAUGCUUCAAUUCUGUCUUUGUAUCUAUGCUUAAAACAAAUGGUAAGAUAAAGGUAUCUUCAACUCAAACUCUUAUUCCUGAUGACUUUUUUUGAAUCUAUGCCAUUUUCGUGUUGCUGGUCAUUGACUGAAUAAAUAUUAUUACUUACUUUUCUUCA